GUGAGCAAAGCCACCGGAGGGAGGCACCGAGACGGCUUUCCCUUCCCUUCCGGAGUUGAAGCCGGCAGCCGGGACGGUCGGCUCCGCCUUCGCUCAGAGAGUCGCUCGCCUUUUCUGGGCUGCUGUGAAGAUAAUGCUGAAAUCGAAAACCUUGAUACCAAGUGACAGCGAUACGUAUUUGAAGUAUUCCCGUUAAAAAUAUGAAAUGAACUAUUUCCGUUCAUAAAUCAGUAAAUAUCAAGUAUUUCCAUUAAUUCAGCAAUCAAGAAAUAUGCUGCCUCCUAGUAUUUAGAGCAGCCAUGAAGGCCUUGCAAAAGAUAUUCAAGUACACAGAUACCUAUAUAUCUGCACUGAUUAGAAUUGUGGAAGCCAUGGUUUCUCUUUGUUACUGUAUGGAAGUGAAAGUUAGACUGAUAUGGAAAACAUUUUUGAACUUUGAGGUUGGAGACUAUCCUGAGAAUAUCAUGCAUAGCCAAGAAAACAAUCCAUUGGACCAUCAAACAAAGCAAUCCACAUUUUUCACUUGAGGUCCACAUUAUCAGGGUUAAAUCGGUCAUUUCCAUUAAAAAAGAUAAAAUAUGCAAAAUAAAUUGUGUUUAUCAAUAAAUUUCUCACGGGGGCACUUUUAAAUUGGUGUUGCAAGAUGACUCCCUUAAAAAUAAUGUCUUUUUAGUUCAGUAAAACUGAAUUGGAAUCCAAUGUUAGCAAUUUGAGUCUGAAAUAUGAAAACAAACAACGCUUUGUGAUAUUUUCAAGAAGAAGCAAUUGUUUUGAAAGCUUGUUCAUCAUGUGAUGUGUCUGGUCAGCAGACUCAUGUGAAUCUGACUCAUCUAAAUUCAGUCAUUUUUUUUAACAAGUAAUAGGUUUGUUCUAAAAAUCUUUUGUUUAAAAAGUGUCAUUUCUUGACAGGCUUGGAUAUCUGUUUUUUUAUUGUUAGUUUUCUUUGUUGUACACAGCUGCAUGUACAGCUAGCAUAUGUGAUGUAUUUAUGUAUAAACGUAUAUGAUUAUGUUAAGGGCUUCCAUUAUAUGCAUAUGGAUUUUUAUUCAUAACUAAUUUGCAUGUACAUUUCAGCAUUUCAUAAGAGGAAAAAAUAGCUAUAAAUAUAUAAAAUUUGUAAUAUGGUCUAUGAUCAAAUGUAAGUCUGAAGGUUCAUAUUACUAUUUGAAUAUUCCUGUAUUCUAAGAUAUAUAGUUGCACUCGUAUAUCUGUAAUCUACUGACAAUUCCCACAGUCACGUGGAAUUCUACAGAGAAAUAACUUCAUACAAAAGUAAUUGCAUCUGAAGAACCCCAUCAAUCAUUUUAUUUAUAAUUUGUUUCAGUACUGUAGUUUAAAAACAUUUGUGAAGAAAAGCCUAUUAUUAAUAUGAAAGAUUCAUUUUGGUUAAUAAACUUAUAGGCAGUUUCUACAUACAGUAUUUUCCAAUAGUUUUGGUAAACACUGCUAGAGUUGCAAAAAUUCUGUCACCAAACAUGUUAAUGUUUUCUUUAUCUGUUUGUUGUCAUCUAAUAGUUGUCCAGAUUUUUGCAGAUUUCAUCUGGUGGUAUUAACUUAUUAUUGCAUGCAAAAGUUUGUAUUAACAUUCAUACGAGAUUUUUAACAAGAGACAAAACUUCUAUCCAUGCAUAUUUUUAUAGAAAUGAACCCAGCUGAUUUCAAUGCAGAGUUUUUUCUAGAUACAUAUGCAUGUGGCCCAAACUGCAUGUUCCUGUUUUUAAUAGAAUUUUAGGCAGUCCCAUUGUAUGAUAGAGUUUAUCAGCUGUGUGGCAGGAUACAAUAGGUUUUACUAGGGUUGCAGCACAGAUGAAAUUUUGUCUAAUGUAUUGUUUGUGUACAUACUGCUGACGUAUAGUGGCAUGAUUAGUGUUGUAAUUGUUGUUAAUGGAUAACAGAAGUUUCUAAUCCGAAUCUGUCAUCUGACUCAGAAUGAAUAAAUAGCAUUCAGCACCUA